rnacentral:tRNA from 1 species
GUCACUGGGUAGCUCAGUUGGUUAGAGCGUGGUGCUCAUAACGUCAAGGUUGGAGGUUCAAUCCCCAUAUGGGACA